rnacentral:rRNA from 1 species
CCUACGGGCGGCAGCAGUGAGGAAUAUUGCACAAUGGACGAGAGCCUGAUCCAGCCAAGUCGCGUGAAUGAUGACUGCCCUCUGGGUUGUAAACUUCUUUUAUAUGGGAAUAAAAUGUUACACGUGUGGGAUUUUGUAUGUACCAUAUGAAUAAGGAUCGGCUAAGUCCGCGCCAGCAGCCGCGGGAAGACGGGGGGUCCGAUCGUUAUCCGGAUUUAUUGGGUUUAAAGGGAACGUAGGUGGUUGGUUAAGUCAGGUGUGAAAGUUUAGGGCUUAACCGUAGAAUUGCAGUUGAUACUGGGAGGCUUGAGUACAGUAGGGGUGGGCGGAAUUCGAGGUGUAGCGGUGAAAUGCGUAGAGA